rnacentral:rRNA from 1 species
GACGAACGCUGGCGGCGUGCUUAACACAUCCAAGUCGAACGGAAAGGCCCUGCUUUUGUGGGGUGCUCGAGUGGCGAACGGGUGAGUAACACGUGAGUAACCUGCCCUUGACUUUGGGAUAACUUCAGGAAACUGGGGCUAAUACCGGAUAGGAGCUCCUGCUGCAUGGUGGGGGUUGGAAAGUUUCGGCGGUUGGGGAUGGACUCGCGGCUUAUCAGCUUGUUGGUGGGGUAGUGGCUUACCAAGGCUUUGACGGGUAGCCGGCCUGAGAGGGUGACCGGCCACAUUGGGACUGAGAUACGGACCAGACUCCUACGGGAGGCAGCAGUGGGGAAUAUUGCACAAUGGGCGGAAGCCUGAUGCAGCAACGCCGCGUGCGGGAUGACGGCCUUCGGGUUGUAAACCGCUUUCGCCUGUGACGAAGCGUGAGUGACGGUAAUGGGUAAAGAAGCACCGGCUAACUACGUG